rnacentral:rRNA from 1 species
GUUUUAUUUUAUAAUUCUUCGUUUAAUUUAGUUUUGUGGAUUUUAUAGUGAUUUUCGAUUUGAUUAUGUUAAAAUUUUAUUUGUUCUUUUGUUUAUUUUUUGUAAUUUAAUUUUUGGUUGAAAUGUUUACUUCAUCUUUGGUUGUAUGUUAAUUAUUGCGUAAUUAGUAAAUCUUGUUUAUUUGUGUUGUAUGGUGUGAUUGGAUGUUAAUUUCCUUGAAGGAAUUAGGCAAAGUUUUCAUGUCCGCCUGUUUAACAAAAACAUCUCUUCUUGUUGGUUUUUGAAGUAUGGCCUGCCCACUGACAAUUUGAGUUGAAUGGCCGCGGUAUUUUGACCGUGCAAAGGUAGCAUAAUCAUUAGUUCUUUAAUUGUGAUCUGGUAUGAAUGGCUUGACGAGACAUGAGCUGUCUUAUAGGUAUUGUUUUGUUGAAUUUAGUUUUUAAGUUAAAAUUCUUAGAUGUUUUUAUGGGACGAGAAGACCCUAUAGAGUUUAACAUUUAUUAUUGGCUAUGUUUAUGUUGUUUGUAUUAUGUUUUUGAGCUUUUUAAAUGUUUUGUUGGGGUGAUGGGAGGAAUUUUUUUAACUCCUCUUUUCUUAUUAUAUAUUUAUUUAUAUUUGUUGAUCCAUUUAUUUUGAUUAAAAAAUUAAAUUACC